rnacentral:rRNA from 1 species
GGAACUAGACACGGUCCAGACUUCUACGGGAGGCAGCAGUGGGGAAAUUGCGCAAUGGGCGAAAGCCUGACGCAGCCUGCCGCGUGUGUGAAGAAGGCCUAGGGUUGUAAAGCACUUUCAAUUCGGGAAAAAGGUUGUGCGUUAAUAGCGUACAGCUUGUGACAUUACCCUUAGAAAAAAGCACCCGGCUAACUCCCGUGCCAGCAGCCCGCGGUAAUACGGAGGGUGCAAGCGUUUAAUCGGAAUUACUGGGGCGUGAAGCGCGCGUAGGCGGUUUUGUUUAGUCGGAAUGUGAAAGCCCUGGGCUUCACCCUGGGAACUUGCAUUUCAUACUUGAUCGACUAGAGUACGAGAGAAGGGAGGUAGAAUCCCACGUGUAGCGGUGAAAUGCGUAGAUAUGUGGAGGUAUACCGGUGGCGAAAGCGGCCUCCUGGCUCGAUACUGACGCUGAGGUGCGAAAGCGUGGGUAGCAAACAGGAUUAGAUACCCCUGGUAGUCUCACGCCGUAAACGAUGUCUACUAG